UAUAUGGUUUAGCAAAUAGUCACUUGUUUUCACCACAUAUUCUUCAAAAAAGUGUAUUUCCCUGCCCCUUUAUUUUUGGACUUGGUGAUAAAUUUAAUAGGUCAAAGGAAUGUGAGCAGAGGUGGCAGUGUGCCAGUUAUAGGCCUAUACUUUAGAAAGCACCAAAUACUUCUGCUUGUUCCUCAGGAAGCUCCAGAGUACUUUAAUGGAAAGAACAUGGUCCCACGUGGCUAUUGUCCCUUUAGCCUUGGUCCAGAAUGACUAUACAUGGAGCAGAGCUACAGGCCUGAGGUUGCUAAGAGACUGAAACAUCAGAAAGAAGAUAUGAAGAGACCCACAGCAUCACAUGGGAAAUUAUCAGAGAGCAGGACCUCAGACCUUACUCCAAGCCUACUGACUCAGAAUCAGCCUAUUAACAAGAUCCAGAGAUGGUACACUUUCAUUUUACAGUAUAAGAAGUACAAAUCUACUCUACCAUUACCCUUGAGAGAUUCUGUAAUUCUGCAUCAAGGUGUGUAUACCUGUGGUGGAUUCAUGUUGAAGUAUGGCAAAACCAAUACAAUAUUGUAAAGUACUUAACCGCCAAUUAAAACAAAUAAAUUUAUAUUAAAAAAUAAAAUUUAAAAAAAUCUUUAAGUUGCUAUUUUCCAAAGAGAUGAGUAGGUUUAUAUCUACACUGUGUAGAUGGUAAUGAGCCAUAUGGAUCAGAAAUUGACUCUGGUUCUAAACUGGGCCCAGAUUCUCAGUAGAGAAUAUCCUAAAGAGACUGGGUUAGUUGGAUAGGUUAAAGUUUCUCAGACUUCAGCAUGCAUCAGGAUACCCUGGAAGAUUUGUUAAUGUGAAGAAUGAUAAGCUCUACCUCAAAGUUUCUGAUGUAGUAAGUCUGGUAUACAGCCUAAGAAUCUGCAUUUCUGACAAGUUUCCAGAUAAUG
rnacentral:lncRNA from 1 species